GAGGCACUGCUGGGAUUUGAACCCAGGAUCUCCUGUUUACUAGACAGGCACUUUGACCAACUAAUCCACAGAGCCUCUACUUGAAGCGUUUAAACCAAAAACGAGUUGAACUUCUUUUCAAAAAAGUUUUAAUUGUGAAAAUGAAGACAAGACACAUUUUUAAAGGCACUGCCGGGAUUUGAAUCCAGCAUCUCCUGUUUACUAGACAGGCACUUUGACCAACUAAGCCACAGAGCCUCUACUUGAAGCAUUUAAACCAAAAACAAGUUGAACUUCUUUUCAAAAAAGUUUUAAUUAUGAAAAUGCAGUGAAAACACUGGGUUAAAGGCACUGCUGGGAUUUGAACCCAGGAUCUCCUGUUUACUAGACAGGCACUUUGACCAACUAAGCCACAGCGCCUCUACUUGAAGCACCUAAACAAAAAACAAAUUGAAUACCUUUUCAAAAAAGUUUUAAUCAGAAAAAUGAAAACAAGACACAUUUUUAAAGGCACUGCUGGGAUUUGAACCCAGGAUCUCCUGUUUACUAGACAGGCACUUUGACCAUCUAAGCCACAGCGCCUCUACUUGAAGCUGUUAAACCAAAAACGAGUUGAACUUCUUUUCAAAACAGUUUUAAUUAUGAAAAUGAAGUGAAAACACUGGGUUAAAGGCACUGCUGGGAUUUGAACCCAGGAUCUCCUGUUUACAAGACAGGCACUUUGACCAGCUAAGCCACAGCGCCACUGUUUUAAGUUUUUCCUGAAAACGAUAAAAUUUAAUUCAUUUUUACCAUGUUGGAAAUCUAAAAAUGCUGUUAAACUUUUAAAGAUGGGGUCGAGAAUUAAACAGGAUCUUUUGAGACAGUCAGUCUAGCAUCAAACCGCAUUGCCUUUGUUAGUAGACUCGUCCCUAUGAAACUGGAAUCUCGUUUGUAAACAAGGCAUUAUGAACACCAAAUGAAUAUUAUAGCGACGAAGGCCCUGCUGGGAUUUGAACCCAGGGUCUCCUGUUUACGAAACAGGCGCUUUAACCAACUAAGCCACAGAGCCCUUGGACAUGCAUUUUAUUCCUAAAGAUCUUGAGUUUAGCUGUAUUUCACCAGGUUUUAAUGCACAAAAGUAAAAUGUAAUAUCUCAGCAAGUUGGAAUAAUAAAAAAAAGGAAGUCAAAACAGAGGUUAAAGGCACUGCUGGGAUUUGAACCCAGGAUCUCCUGUUUACUAGACAGGCACUUUGACCAACUAAUCCACAGAGCCUCUACUUGAAGCGUUUAAACCAAAAACGAGUUGAACUUCUUUUCAAAAAAGUUUUAAUUAUGAAAAUGAAGUCCAAACACUGGGUUAAAGGCACUGCUGGGAUUUGAACCUAGGAAUUCCUGUAUACUAGACAGGCACUUUGACCAUCUAAGCCACAGCGCCUCUACUUGAAGCUGUUAAACCCAAAACGAGUUGAAUACCUUUUCAAAAAAGUUUUAAUCAGAAAAAUGAAGUCAAAACACUGGGUUAAAGGCACUGCUGGGAUUUGAACCCAGGAUCUCCUGUUUACUAGACAGGCACUUUGACCAUCUAAGCCACAGCGCCUCUACUUGAAGCUGUUAAACCCAAAACGAGUUGAACUUCUUUUCAAAAAAUUUUAAUUAUGAAAAUGAAGUGAAAACACUGGGUUAAAGGCACUGCUGGGAUUUGAACCCAGGAUCUCCUGUUUACAAGACAGGCACUUUGACCAGCUAAGCCACAGCGCCACUGUUUUAAGUUUUUCCUGAAAACGAUUAAAUUUAAUUCAUUUUUACCAUGUUGGAAAUCUAAAAAUGCUGUUAAACUUUUAAAGAUGGGGUCAAGAAUUAAACAGGAUCUUUUGAGACAGUCAGUCAAGCAUCAAACCACAUUUCCUUUGUUAGUACCCUCGUCCCUAAGAAACCGGAAUCUCGUUUGUAAACAAGGCAUUAUGGACACUAAAUGAAUAUUAUAGAGACGAAGGCCCUGCUGGGAUUUGAACCCAGGGUCUCCUGUUUACGAAA
ensembl:lncRNA